rnacentral:lncRNA from 1 species
ACAGCCUCUUUAUGAUAAACAUAAAUUUUUAGUUUUAGAUGAUUUUAGAAAACAUACAUAGAAAAUAAAGAUAGAAAGGCUCAUUUUUAACUGCUAAAAGUAGCAAGGAAGCUGAUGGGGCCUUUGCCGGUAAAGGCCGCCUGAAGUCCAAAGAUGAGGAAUGCGAUCAUGGCGAGACGAGAGUGUUUGAUCUCAGCCAGCUUCAAGGUAUCCAACUUCUCUGGGUCAGCAGCGAGUCCCAACGGGUCAAAAUACCCCACCGGGUAGAUACGUUUCUCCGGAUCCAGCUCAGCGUUACGCUGGAACUCGAUGAACCAACCACUAACACCUCGAUCCAUAUCAAUGUCGUCAAGGGAAAAUGCAAUGGCUGUCCCAAAUACGAUGAACCUUCCACCAGUUCCACCUAAAUAGGUGUGUGUUGGAAACAAGAAACGAACCAAACCAAAAAAAAACAUGAACAAAAUACGAUGCUUAUUUACAAAACAUAUAAAAUGCAUUUAAAAUAAAAAAAAAUACUAGAUUUUAAGUAGCAUUAUAUAUUCAGUAGCUAUUAUAUUAUUAAACUGAAUUUGUUUCAACGAACCGAACCAACCUAUAUUUCCACAUAUGCAUUGUUCGGACACUUAGCCAUGCUUUUAACACUUAAACAACUCUUGUCAAUCAUGCAGAACGUGUCAUCUUCUUAUUUAUAAUCUUUGUAUCUUAGUUCCAACGACCGACACGGGAAAACUAUGGACGAUCGAAAUGGAACGUACCUUUCCGGCGUCUGUAUUUAAGUAGAGGAAAUGGUCAAUUUGUCCGACCCAUUUGGUUUGAUUAUUCUUUGUUUGAUUUCAAUAUGUUAAUUCAGCUAACUACAUUUGGCAAAAUAAUGUAGUAGUUAGCAGAAACAACACCAAGAAAGAUUGAUCAGUUGACUCCAUUUGUGGGUUUGGUCAGUAAGCACUAAGCCAUCAUUGGCUAAAGGGUUUGUUGGAACAAAACCAUAUUUGAUUAUUGUCUCAAAAAAGAAGAUGCAUCAAUUUUAACGGGCCUCCAAAUUUUAGCAUUAGACCCAUCAUAUGUGUUGACAUCUGAUCAAUAGGUGAUGCAUUUGUAUAUGAUAGCCCAAUUCCAACAACACCAAAAACAAUAAACAAACUCGUUCAGAUUUAACACGGUCGAUAGAGUACAUCACAGCCUCUUUAUGAUAAACAUAAAUUUUUAGUUUUAGAUGAUUUUAGAAAACAUACAUAGAAAAUAAAGAUAGAAAGGCUCAUUUUUAACUGCUAAAAGUAGCAAGGAAGCUGAUGGGGCCUUUGCCGGUAAAGGCCGCCUGAAGUCCAAAGAUGAGGAAUGCGAUCAUGGCGAGACGAGAGUGUUUGAUCUCAGCCAGCUUCAAGGUAUCCAACUUCUCUGGGUCAGCAGCGAGUCCCAACGGGUCAAAAUACCCACCCGGGUAGAUACGUUUCUCCGGAUCCAGCUCAGCGUUACGCUGGAACUCGAUGUAACCAACCACUAACACCUCGAUCCAUAUCAAUGUCGUCAAGGAAAAUGGCAAUGGCUGUCCCAAAUACGAUGAACCUUCCACCAGUUCCACCUAAUAGGUGUGUGGAAACAAGAAACGAACCAAACCAAAAAAAAACAUGAACAAAAUACGAUGCUUAUUACAAACAUAUAAAAUGCAUUAAAAUAUAAUAAAAUACUAGAUUUUAAGUAGCAUUAUAUAUUUCAGUAGCUAUUAUAUUAUUAAACUGAAUUUUGUUUCAACCGAACCGAACCAACUAUAUGUUCCACAUAUGCAUUGUUCGGACACUUAGCCAUGCUUUUAACACUUAAACAACUCUUGUCAAUCAUGCAGAACGUUGUCAUCUUCUUAUUUAUAAUCUUUGUAUCUUAGUUCCAACGACCGACACGUGGAAAACUAUGACGAUCGAAAUGAACGUACCUUUCCGGCGUCUUGCCAGGCGAUCCCGGUGAGACCUUCGACGGCAAGAGCCCCAAGAACACCAAGCAUGGCCCACCUUCCGUGGAUCAGCUCGCAUUCUCUGAAACGU